AAACCUUGCGAACCACCUCCAAUUAGCUAUUGAUUCCCUAUCCAAACAUUCUACAGGGUAAUUUCAUGCACAAAAAUUCCAACCGCUUCCUACGAUAGCUAAGUCUGUUACUGAGAUACAGAGAGCGACAAAUUUUCCGACUGUGCUUUCUGCGGAUCCGUAGUGGGCAAGUCAGAAUAAGAAUAUAUUUUCCUGGCGGUUUCGGCGUCUAAGUCGAAGUUACCGGUGAAGCUCAGAGGAAGGAGGGGAAAUAUCCGUACAGAGACUUCAACGUGAGUGGAUUUUUCUGAGUCGUAUUCCUCAGUUCAACGCCCAUCUAUUCCAACGCCGGCAAUCACAACCAGCGUUCCUUGGGCGGCUCUCCAAGGCCAACGGCAGCGAAACGGAGAUAAACGAAGAUAACUCGCGCAUACGCCUCGCCAUAGCCACUCUUACACAAUCGGGCUAAAUCCAAAUCCAAAUCAACUCCACCCACAAUGUCCUCCAACGUCGGCCUCUCCACCCCGCGUGGCAGCGGUACCUCCGGCUACGUCCAACGAAACCUCUCAUUCCUAAAACCGCGAGACGCCGGCUACGGUGCCCCGUACCCGCCCGUCUCAAACGCCGACCAACAGUCCAAGGAUUCCUUCAAACAGCGCCAGCCGGACAAGCAGAUCCUGGAACAUGAUCGGCGGCGGGCCAUCGAGGUGAAGAUCUUGGAGGAGAGGGAUCGACUGGAGGAGGCGAAUGAGCAGAGCGAGGGGAAAGAUAAGCUAUCUGAAGAGGCGAUUGAGGAGCGGUUGGAUGCGAUGCGGAAA
rnacentral:sRNA from 1 species